UUAUUGGAGAGUUUGAUCCUGGCUCAGGACGAACGCUGGCGGCGUGCCUAAUACAUGCAAGUCGAGCGGACCAAUGAAGAGCUUGCUCUUCGGCGGUUAGCGGCGGACGGGUGAGUAACACGUAGGCAACCUGCCUGUACGACUGGGAUAACUCCGGGAAACCGGAGCUAAUACCGGAUACUUCUUUCAGACCGCAUGGUCUGAAAGGGAAAGACCUUUGGUCACGUACAGAUGGGCCUGCGGCGCAUUAGCUAGUUGGUGGGGUAACGGCCUACCAAGGCGACGAUGCGUAGCCGACCUGAGAGGGUGAUCGGCCACACUGGGACUGAGACACGGCCCAGACUCCUACGGGAGNAAAGCCCCGGCUAACUACGUGCCAGCAGCCGCGGUAAUACGUAGGGGGCAAGCGUUGUCCGGAAUUAUUGGGCGUAAAGCGCGCGCAGGCGGCUUCUUAAGUCAGGUGUGAAAGCCCACGGCUCAACCGUGGAGGGCCACUUGAAACUGGGAAGCUUGAGUGCAGGAGAGGAGAGCGGAAUUCCACGUGUAGCGGUGAAAUGCGUAGAGAUGUGGAGGAACACCCGUGGCGAAGGCGGCUCUCUGGCCUGUAACUGACGCUGAGGCGCGAAAGCGUGGGGAGCGAACAGGAUUAGAUACCCUGGUAGUCCACGCCGUAAACGUUGAGUGCUAGGUGUUGGGGGUGACCAAUCCUCAGUGCCGCAGCUAACGCAAUAAGCACUCCGCCUGGGGAGUACGGCCGCAAGGCUGAAACUCAAAGGAANNNNNNNNNNNNNNNNNNNNNNNNNNNNNNNNNNNNNN
rnacentral:rRNA from 1 species